rnacentral:rRNA from 1 species
GAUGAACGCUGGCGGCGUGCCUAAUACAUGCAAGUCGAGCGAACAGACGAGGAGCUUGCUCCUCUGACGUUAGCGGCGGACGUGUGAGUAACACGUGGAUAACCUACCUAUAAGACUGGGAUAACUUCGGGAAACCGGAGCUAAUACCGGAUAAUAUAUUGAACCGCAUGGUUCAAUAGUGAAAGACGGUUUUGCUGUCACUUAUAGAUGGUUCCGCGCCGCAUUAGCUAGUUGGUAAGGUAACGGCUUACCAAGGCAACGAUGCGUAGCCGACCUGAGAGGGUGAUCGGCCACACUGGAAGUGAGACACGGUCCAGACUCCUACGGGAGGCAGCAGUAGGGAAUCUUCCGCAAUGGGCGAAAGCCUGACGGAGCAACGCCGCGUGAGUGAUGAAGGUCUUCGGAUCGUAAAACUCUGUUAUGAGGGAAGAACAAAUGUGUAAGUAACUAUGCACGUCUUGACGGUACCUAAUCAGAAAGCCACGGCUAACUACGUG